GGCCUCAAAUCAGGUAGGACUACCCGCUGAACUUAAGCAUAUCAAUAAGCGGAGGAAAAGAAACUAACAAGGAUUCCCCUAGUAACGGCGAGUGAAGCGGGAAGAGCUCAAAUUUGAAAUCUGGUGGACUUUGUUCAUCCGAGUUGUAAUCUAGAGAAGUGUUUUCCGUGCUGGCCAAUGUACAAGUCCCUUGGAACAGGGCGUCAUAGAGGGUGAGAAUCCCGUACUUGACAUUGAUCACCGGUGCUCUGUGAUACACUUUCAAAGAGUCGAGUUGUUUG
rnacentral:rRNA from 1 species